rnacentral:rRNA from 1 species
GUGACCUCAAAUCAGGUAGGACUACCCGCUGAACUUAAGCAUAUCAAUAAGCGGAGGAAAAGAAACUAACAAGGAUUCCCCUAGUAACUGCGAGUGAAGCGGGAAAAGCUCAAAUUUAAAAUCUGGCGGUCUUAUGGCUGUCCGAGUUGUAAUCUAGAGAAGUGUUAUCCGCGCUGGACCGUGUACAAGUCUCCUGGAAUGGAGCAUCAUAGAGGGUGAGAAUCCCGUCUUUGACAUGGACUGCCAGGGCUUUGUGAUGCGCUCUCAAAGAGUCGAGUUGUUUGGGAAUGCAGCUCAAAAUGGGUGGUAAAUUCCAUCUAAAGCUAAAUAUUGGCGAGAGACCGAUAGCGAACAAGUACCGUGAGGGAAAGAUGAAAAGAACUUUGGAAAGAGAGUUAAACAGUACGUGAAAUUGCUGAAAGGGAAACGCUUGAAGUCAGUCAUGUCAUCCAGGGAUCAACCUUGCUUUUGCUUGGUGCACUUUCUGGUUUGACGGGUCAGCAUCAAUUUUGACCAUUGGAAAAAGGUUGAGGGAAUGUGGCAUCUUUGGAUGUGUUAUAGCCCUUGGUCGUAUACAAUGGUUGGUAUUGAGGAACUCAGCACGCCGCAAGGCCGGGUUUAACCACGUACGUGCUAG